CUUCUGAGCGUCUCCUCACCCCUCACUCAUGUGGCCCCUUCAACUGGUGGCACUUUUGCUUGUGUCUUGUUAUCUUUUCGAAAUGGUGAAGCUGACAAUGAUAGCCUGUAUCACUGAUGGCCUUUCAUUUGCGGAGUGCUUAGAUGGUGGUUAUGUUAAGGAUGUUGUCUUCUACAAGCAGCAAGCAAAAUUGUUGUUCAAAAACAUAUAUAAAGGCCAACAUGAAUCAUCAAGACUGUCAACUGAGACUGGACCGUACCGUUCCAGGUUAAGGUUGCAGGAAUAGCUUUAUAUUAGGAGCAGCUUCUCCACCACCACUCAGCAGUAGAGGAGGUGUGCUUCUUCCCCAACACAACAUAGCGUCAGCCACGGUAUCCUCGGCCCUCUCCCUCUAUCUACCCUCUUCUGUUCCUUACCGAAAAAUCAUUUUUUUACCUUGUAUAAUACUUGUGAUUUGGACCGAUUUGUGUUUUGGGGGGCAUCAAUUUGGUGCUUCCCCCGUCCAUGUGCUGCAGAGAAAAGGAGAAGAAGGGGAUGGAUGAGCAAGGAGCAGAAGGACCUGAAGAAGAAGGGCAAGGGAAGUGGGGCGAUAUGCAUGUCCAGGGAGGGUAUAGAAAACCAAUUAGUGUUGGCUGCCUUGAAGGGAGCCACAAGGAAGAGAGAGAUCAGUGUACAUGACAUGAAGAUGAUAAGGCGCCACUUCCACGAUGACAUCAACAUCGCCGUGGUCUGUCUUCAAUGGCACCUGGGGCGACAUCAGAUCAUGUAAACACCUAAUAUUUGUACAUGGUUAUGUCCACCUUCAACGGAAGGCACACAUAUCCCCAUUUGUGGUUUCAGCUUUACGGGAAGUUUUUAGUCGUGUAAGACUAAUGCUUAUAGUUUGUUUUCAAGUAUUUCUGUUGCUGGGCUUAUUUUUAAACUAUAGUUUGGUUGAUGAACUAUUUCUACUGAAAAGCUUAUUUUGAAAAUAUAGUUUGGUUGGCGAA